GGGCGGGUAGCGUAGUGGUUCAGCGCGUUCUUAAACGCUAUCAGCGUUGGUUUAAAGCGUAAAAACGCUUUGCGAAAGGCCUGGGUUCGAACCCCAGCCCGCCCA